GGGGUUUUUUGAGGACUCCGGCGUAUUGUAGGACGGAGCCGUCGUCAUCUUCAUCGUCGUCUUCAUCGUCAUCAUCCUCCUCCUCCUCCUGCCCCGGGGGGGCCCUGGCGCUGCCCCCCCCCAGCCGGCUGAACACCCCCGAGGGCUGGGGGGGGGAAGGGGGGGCCGUCAGCACCUUCAGGGGCUGCACUUUUCCUUUCUUUCCCUCUCCUUCCUCUUCCUCCCUCUCUUCUCCUUCCCUUUCCUUUCCUCUCCUUCCUUUUAUUUCCUCCCCUUCCCUUCCCUCUCCUUCCUCCUCUUCCUCUCUUUCCUCUCCUUCCAUUUCAUUUCCUCUCCUUCCUUUCCUCUCCCUUCCCUUCCUCUCCUUCCUUUUCCUCCCCUCCCUUUUCAUUUCCUCCCCUUCCCUUUCCUCUCUUUUCCUUCCCUUUCCUUCUCUCUCCUCUCCUUCCUUUUCCACUCCUCUCUUUCCUCUCCUUCCUUCCCUUUCCUCUCCUUCCUUUUCCUCUCCUCCUUUUUCAUUUCCUCUCCUCCCUUUUCAUUUCCUCCCCUUCCCUUUCCUCCCCUUCCCUUUCCUCUCCUCUUUCCUCUCCUCCUUUUUCAUUUCCUCUCCUCUCCUUCCUUUUCCUCUCCUCCCCUUCUUCUCCUCCCCCCUCCUCCCCUUCCUCUCCUUCCCUCCCCUCUCCUCUCCUCCCUCUCCUCUCCUUCCUUUUCCUCUCCUCUAUUUCCUCCCCUUCCUCUUCCUCUCCUUUCCCUUCCUCCCCUUCCCUUCCUCUCCUUCCUUUUCCUCUCCUUCCCUCUCCUUCCUUCCCUUCCUCUAUUUCCUCUCCUUCCUUUUCAUUUCCUCUCCUUCCAUUUCCUCUCCUUCCCUUUCCUGUCUUCUCCU
rnacentral:lncRNA from 1 species